rnacentral:rRNA from 1 species
UACGUAGGGUACAAGCAUUAAUCGGAAUUAUUGGGCGUAAAGGGCGCGUAGGCGGGAGCAUAAGUCAGAUGUGAAAUACCAAAGCUCAACUUUGGUGCUGCAUUUGAAACUGGAUGUCUAGAGGAAAGGCGGAGAAAAUGGAAUUCCACGUGUAGCGGUGAAAUGCGUAGAUAUGUGGAAGAACACCGGUGGCGAAAGCGGUUUUCUAGCUUUUAACUGACGCUGAGGCGCGAGAGCAAGGGGAGCAAACAGG